rnacentral:rRNA from 1 species
CGUAGGCGGCUUGGUAAGUCAGAUGUGAAAUCCUGGGGCUCAACCUCGGAACUGCAUUUGAUACUGCCAGGCUAGAGUACUGGAGAGGAGACUGGAAUUUACGGUGUAGCAGUGAAAUGCGUAGAUAUCGUAAGGAAGGCCAGUGGCGAAGGCGAGUCUCUGGACAGUAACUGACGCUGAGGCACGAAGGCUAGGGGAGCAAACGG